rnacentral:rRNA from 1 species
GCUACAGGCUUAACACAUGCAAGUCGAGGGGCAGCAUGGUCUUAGCUUGCUAAGGCCGAUGGCGACCGGCGCACGGGUGAGUAACACGUAUCCAACCUGCCGUCUACUCUUGGACAGCCUUCUGAAAGGAAGAUUAAUACAAGAUGGCAUCAUGAGUCCGCAUGUUCACAUGAUUAAAGGUAUUCCGGUAGACGAUGGGGAUGCGUUCCAUUAGAUAGUAGGCGGGGUAACGGCCCACCUAGUCUUCGAUGGGUAGGGGUUCUGAGAGGAAGGUCCCCCACAUUGGAACUGAGACACGGUCCAAACUCCUACGGGAGGCAGCAGUGAGGAAUAUUGGUCAAUGGGCGAGAGCCUGAACCAGCCAAGUAGCGUGAAGGAUGACUGCCCUAUGGGUUGUAAACUUCUUUUAUAAAGGAAUAAAGUCGGGUAUGGAUACCCGUUUGCAUGUACUUUAUGAAUAAGGAUCGGCUAACUCCGUGCCAGCAGCCGCGGUAAUACGGAGGAUCCGAGCGUUAUCCGGAUUUAUUGGGUUUAAAGGGAGCGUAGAUGGAUGUUUAAGUCAGUUGUGAAAGUUUGCGGCUCAACCGUAAAAUUGCAGUUGAUACUGGAUAUCUUGAGUGCAGUUGAGGCAGGCGGAAUUCGUGGUGUAGCGGUGAAAUGCUUAGAUAUCACGAAGAACUCCGAUUGCGAAGGCAGCCUGCUAAGCUGCAACUGACAUUGAGGCUCGAAAGUGUGGGUAUCAAACAGGAUUAGAUACCCUGGUAGUCCACACGGUAAACGAUGAAUACUCGCUGUUUGCGAUAUACAGCAAGCGGCCAAGCGAAAGCGUUAAGUAUUCCACCUGGGGAGUACGCCGGCAACGGUGAAACUCAAAGGAAUUGACGGGGGCCCGCACAAGCGGAGGAACAUGUGGUUUAAUUCGAUGAUACGCGAGGAACCUUACCCGGGCUUAAAUUGCAGAUGAAUUACGGUGAAAGCCGUAAGCCGCAAGGCAUCUGUGAAGGUGCUGCAUGGUUGUCGUCAGCUCGUGCCGUGAGGUGUCGGCUUAAGUGCCAUAACGAGCGCAACCCUUGUUGUCAGUUACUAACAGGUUCUGCUGAGGACUCUGACAAGACUGCCAUCGUAAGAUGUGAGGAAGGUGGGGAUGACGUCAAAUCAGCACGGCCCUUACGUCCGGGGCUACACACGUGUUACAAUGGGGGGUACAGAGGGCCGCUACCACGCGAGUGGAUGCCAAUCCCCAAAACCUCUCUCAGUUCGGACUGGAGUCUGCAACCCGACUCCACGAAGCUGGAUUCGCUAGUAAUCGCGCAUCAGCCACGGCGCGGUGAAUACGUUCCCGGGCCUUGUACACACCGCCCGUCAAGCCAUGGGAGCCGGGGGUACCUGAAGUGCGUAACCGCGAGGAGCGCCCUAGGGUAAAACUGGUGACUGGGGCUAAGAC